AUGAAGAGAAGGGCCUUGCUGAGGUCAUUGCAUUUGCUGUGGCCUCCACUCUUGCUCCUCCAGAUGACCUCCACAUUGCUGGCUUCUUCUUGGGAUACACACAGACCCAAGGACUAUAAGAAGUAUAUUCAGGAAAAGGGAAUGGGAGUGAAGAUGAUGGUAGAGUGAAAAGACAAAAUAAUUAAAAUAGACUGUCUUGUCCAGAGUAAGUGUGAUAUGAGCCAUAAAGAAGACAGUAUAGUGAACACAUCUCUGCAUCUGAGAUCUCCCAUAACACUCCUCCUAUCAAAUUGAAAACAAAGAAAGAAGGAAAACAAUGGAAUAGAACUGGCUGAAAAACACAGAGCUGGUUCUACGGAAAGACUUAGGUAAACCCCUGGCUUUUGUGACCACAGAAGAAAGGGAAAGGGAAGAAAACUGGGUAACAUUAUCAUUUGGUGUAAAAAAUUGGUUUGGCUGCAGAUAUAGAAGAUACUUAGAAAUUAAAUACUACUUAGAUGAAAAAACAUUUUUUGAGGAGAAUUGUAAAUUACCAAAAUUGAUCCAAGGAAUGGCUUAAAAAGCCCCAAUGUGGUGGAAAAUCAAAGAGGAAUUUAAAAUGUUCUCCCAAAUCUAAUCCUCCAGAAGCCAGAUCCAGAGAUUUCAAAAAUAACCUAAUUUCAUCAAUAUCUUCAAUAAAUAGGUGAGUCCUUAAUCUGUUCUGCAAUGUGGAAAAUGACAAAAACCUUCUGUCCUACCCCUAAUAGUAAGCCCAGGGAAGAUUAGCAGUGUGAUAAAGAGGAAUUCCUGUUUAAGAAGCAGGUGACCUGUUUUCUUUUUUUUUUUUUUUUGAGACAGAGUCUCGCUCUGUCGCCCAGGCUGGAGUGCAGUGGCCGGAUCUCAGCUCACUGCAAGCUCCGCCUCCCGGGUUCACGCCAUUCUCCUGCCUCAGCCUCCCGAGUAGCUGGGACUACAGGCGCCUGCCACCUCGCCCGGCUAGUUUUUUUUUUUUUGUAUUUUUUAGUGGAGACGGGGUUUCACCAUGUUAGCCCAUGUUGGGAUGGUCUCGAUCUCCUGACCUCGUGAUCCGCCCGUCUCGGCCUCCCAAAGUGCUGGGAUUACAGGCUUGAGCCACCGCGCCCGGCUGGUGACCUGUUUUCUAAGCAUGCACAUUCCACUUGUAAACUGGAUGCUCUUGAGCAGUUAUCCUAAUAUCCCCCUGCCUUAUAUACUCGUCUGUCAAACAGGUGUUUAAUAAAUGCUGACAUUAGCUCUGCCCUUCAUCUCCCAGCUGUUCUCUGAUCUUCACUAUUGGGUUUGCUGUUGCCUCCCCUCCCCCUAUAAUUCAGAGCACAUAUAGACUGGGGCUAUAUGCAGUCAGAAUUGGCUCAGACACUGGAAUGGGAUGGAGCCUAUAUCCAUAGGCUAUAUCCAUAGUCUCCACAGGCUGGGAUGGAGCCUAUAUCCAUCCAUAGGCUCCAUCCCAGUCUGGUGUCUGAGCCAAUUCUGACUGCAUAUAGCCCCCGUCUACUCUUCCCCAUCUCUUCAAUCCAAGACAGACUUUAUCUUUGUGACUUUCAUAGAUUCUGGAUGAAGAGGAGGCAGGGCUGACCACUGAACACCAACACUAUUCCCUAGCAAUCAAAGCUCCCCACAUCCCACACUGUUCACCUCAUCCCCCAAAUAGCUUCAUUUUCAUGUCAAGGAUUCUGUCUUUCUUCUUGCCAAUCUGUCCAUUUUUAGUCCAGGGUUUCCUGACUUGGUGACUAUGGACACUAGAAGGUUGCAGGUAUCAGUAGCAAGGGAUUUCAGAAUGCUUUCUUAUACAAAUGUUAUCUGUAGAUUGAAUAUCUCAUACACAUAAGUGUUGCUAUUUUUCCAAAUGAACUUCUAUCAGUCUGAGUUCAAGCAAGAGACAGAAACCACAUGGUAAUGUAAAUCAAGAGAAGUUUAAUAUAAAAAAAUUAUUCAGCGGUGAUAGAAGAGUACCUAUAACAAUGUAAAGAGAACUUUCAAGGGUAUCUGAGGAUUGAGGGAGAGUACCCAAGGAAGGACAACUUGGAAAGAGGGUUCUCUGCCUAAGGCUGGGGUUCAGGCCUUGUUGGAGAAGGUGUAUUUGCAGUCCACCAGAUGUCAGAGAAGCCUCCUAUUUUCCAGGACCAGAGCUGUUCCAUAGCUGCUGGGCAAAUAGGAUGCAAUCUCUUGGAGCACAGGCACACUGAGGCUGUGGCUAAGUGCAUAGUCAGGCCACUGCUGGGGACAUGAGGCCUGGAGCACACAGUGCCUGUGUUGCAGGGCUGUGAAGUGGCCACAGGCUCAGGAUCAGGCCAAAUAGUCAGUGAGGGACUGUGCCUCUGGGCAGAUGGUA
ensembl:lncRNA